rnacentral:misc_RNA from 1 species
CUUAGAAACAAAUGAAUGCAGUGAAAAACAAUGAAAUUAGCACUUCAUUAUACUCAAUAAUAGAUCAUACAGAUCUACAAUGAUUCAUUAAAUGCUCUACAAUGAUUGCACUGAAAAUGGGCCAGAACCCAGGAGAAAUAGAUUAGACAAUUAUAUCUUGAGUAAAGUGUUACGAAGAUAUGGCACAUAAUUUCUUACUUACCACCUCAACAUGAG